AAGAGAAUGCGAUGAUUAAUAUUCCAGAUCCCAAAUAUUUAUCCAGUGAAUCAUCUAUUCACAUUUCAUUCAGAUUCGGUGAUUAAGUGAGGCUAAUUAACUUAAAACCUAUGAACGUCCUCAAUGAAAAUUCGCAUCCCAUUUAGAGAAUUCGGGAAGGUUCCCUGCAAGCUUCUGUGGGACCACUAGCACCAGUGGGCACAUCGAGAGCAAACACAUCGGAGACACAUUUUUCUUUCUUUGUGAAUUCUGCCUUAACUCAAAGGGUCCCGGGCGCCCCUCGAUCGUCCCCUACUCAACCCCCGGCCACUGGCCUUGGAGAAGAGCAUUUAAUGGCUGCAGCUCUGAGGCGCGAGAUCCAGGGGCAAAAGGGGGACCGGGCCCCUGACGAGAAAGCGACCCUGGCUACCCUGCACUCUCUUGGACACUCCUUUCAACGCGCCCUUAGCUGGGCGAGUUAACCCCGUCCCGCGGGGAACCAGGCUUCCCGUAGCCCCUGCCCCGGGCUCCCUCCGGCGGCUGCCGCAUAUUUAAAGAGCCCAAAGAGGACCAGGCAGCCGGGUCUCCACGCGUUCUUUGUCGGGAGGGCGCGAGUCUUGGGCCACCAAGAGCUUGGAGGAGGGCGCCAAGGGGGCGGCUGCGGCGCGCCAGCCCCCGACCCGCCAGCAGCCCCUGGAGGCGGGAGAAAGAGCCUCCGGCCCCCAGGACUCUAGCCCCUUCAGCCCAAAUCGGCCGAAGCGCCCGGGUCCCCGGCACCUCCUUCCUCCCGGGCAGUUGCAAAAGCAGCUCGGAAAGCGCCUGCGAGCUCGGGUUUGUCGGAUCCCGGUCGCUUCCAGUCACCGGGCGACACCGCGCCACUCGGGGCCGUGCACAAUAGCGAAAGUCCGAGGACGCGCUUCGCCCGACCCCACCUCCCGCCUUCCCCAGGCCGCCCGCCGCGGCUCCCCACCUCCCCGCCCGGAGGGUUGCUGGUGCCCCGGGGCCGCGCGGCGCACUCGUGGGGUCUGCGCCGCUCCCCCCAGCCGGCCGGCGGGCAGUGUGAGACGGCCGCGGCGACUGGGCUCCCGCACUCCGGCCGCCCCGCGCGUGUCUGGGCCCCGGCAGUGGGGACGGGGUGGGCUGGUGCCCCCACCGCGCCAGCGUACUGACUUGCUGCUGCUUCCUGGGGCGGCCGCGUCCUCUCUUCUGAGGCGCUGGGGCGGCAGGU